UACAGAGGUCUCAAGCGUUGUUCGGAUUCAUUGGGCGUAAAGGGCGCGUAGGCGGCGGGGUAAGUCGGGUGUGAAAUCUCAGAGCUCAACUCUGAAACUGCACUCGAUACUGCUCUGCUUGAGGACUGGAGAGGAGACUGGAAUUCACGGUGUAGCAGUGAAAUGCGCAGAUAUCAGGAGGAACACCGGUGGCGAAGGCGGGUCUCUGGGCCGUAACUGACGCUGAGGAGCGAAAGCAUGGGGAGCGAACAGG
rnacentral:rRNA from 1 species